rnacentral:rRNA from 1 species
GAUGAACGCUGGCGGCGUGCCUAAUACAUGCAAGUCGAGCGAACAGACGAGGAGCUUGCUCCUCUGACGUUAGCGGCGGACGGGUGAGUAACACGUGGAUAACCUACCUAUAAGACUGGGAUAACUUCGGGAAACCGGAGCUAAUACCGGAUAAUAUAUUGCACCGCAUGGUUCAAUAGUGAAAGACGGUUUUGCUGUCACUUAUAGAUGGAUCCUCGCCGCAUUAGCUAGUUGGUAAGGUAACGGCUUACCAAGGCAACGAUGCGUAGCCGACCUGAGAGGGGGAUCGGCCACACUGGAACUGAGACACGGUCCAGACUCCUACGGGAGGCAGCAGUAGGGAAUCUUCCGCAAAGGGCGAAAGCCUGACGGAGCAACGCCGCGUGAGUGAUGAAGGUCUUCGGAUCGUAAAACUCUGUUAUUAGGGAAGAACAAAUGUGUAAGUAACUAUGCACGUCUUGACGGUACCUAAUCAGAAAGCCACGGCUAACUACGUG